rfam:Actinoplanes missouriensis 431 DNA, complete genome.
GGGGUUCCGGUUCACGCCACGUUCCAGCAGGAAUGGCGACCCGGCGACC